UAAGUGAAACCAAAGAGAGGUUUAUCAAUGUUAAUGAUAGUAUUGGGCAAUAUUUUCCCACUUAAGAAAUGUGGGGUUCAUAAGAGGGCUGCUAACUUUCUUAUUAGUGGUUAAAAUCCAUUAACAUUUCUA
rnacentral:tRNA from 1 species